AAGUGAAGAAACUUGCUGAGCAGUAUGUUGAGACUGCACAGCAGAAGGAAAAAGGCGAUCUAUUAUGAUUAGAGUAAAUCAGUCUCAAAUUUUACAGGGCUGUUAAUUUCAAGUUUUUAAUUUCCCAAACCAGUUAUUUUGUUGAUAAUUACAGCGUACUACAUGACUUAUCAUUGACAUUAUGUAUCUCAGAAAUACGCAGUGAUGCCUUGCGCCAAA
rnacentral:misc_RNA from 1 species